rnacentral:rRNA from 1 species
AAAUGCAUCGUAUGGUAGGGGAGCGUCGUCGUCAGCAGAGAAGGUCGAGCGGGAGCACGGCUGGAGCGGCGACGAGUGCGAAUGCCGGUAUGAGUAGCGCAAGGGCGGUGAGAAUCCGCCCCACCGAAUGCCCAAGGGUUCCGCAGCCAUGCUGAUCAGCUGCGGGUGAGUCGGGCCUAAGCCGAGGCCGCAAGGCGUAGGCGAUGGACAACGGGUGAAUAUUCCCGUACCACAGAUCCCCGUUACGAGCGAUGGGGGGACGCAGGGCGGCAGGCCCAGCGGAGCAAUCCGUCCAAGCCGGUAGGGAGCCGCGGGAGGCAAAUCCCCCGCGACGAUGACCGAGAGGCGAUGGCGAGGUCGGGGGACACCCCGGCCAAGUGGGUUGGGCCUGAACUGCCAGGAAAAGCCUCUAGCCAGGUGAUCUGUGCCCGUACCGCAAACCGACACAGGUGGGCAGGUCGAAUAGACCAAGGUGGACGGGAGACCCCUCGUUAAGGGACUCGGCAAAUUACCACCGUAACUUCGGGAGAAGGUGGGCCCCGGUACCGUGAUGGUUCCUCGCGAACCGGAGCGGGAGGGGGUUGCAGUGAAGCGGCCCAGGCGACUGUUUACCAAAAACACAGGUCUCUGCGAACGGGAAACCGGACGUAUAGGGGCUGAUGCCUGCCCAGUGCCGGAAGGUUAAGGGGAGGGGUUCACGCUCUGAACCGAAGCCCCGGUAAACGGCGGCCGUAACUAUAACGGUCCUAAGGUAGCGAAAUUCCUUGUCGGGUAAGUUCCGACCCGCACGAAAGGCAUAACGAUCUGGGCGCUGUCUCAACGAGGGACCCGGUGAAAUUGAACUGUCCGUGAAGAUGCGGACAACCCGCGGCAGGACAAAAAGACCCCGUGGAGCUUUACUCCAGCUUGCCAUCGGGCGUAGAUCUGGCUUGUGUAGGAUAGGUGGGAGCCAAUGAACCCGGGACGCCAGUCCCGGGGGAGGCGGCGGUGAAAUACCACUCUGGCCAGGUUGGCGCUCUCACCUGCGGCCGUUAUCCGGCGCGGGGACAGUGGCUGGCGGGGAGUUUGACUGGGGCGGUCGCCUCCUAAACAGUAACGGAGGCGCCCAAUGGUCCCCUCAGGCCGGAUGGAAAUCGGCCGGAGCGUGCACUGGCAGCAAGGGGGCUUGACUGCGAGGGUGACCACCCGAGCAGGGACGAAAGUCGGGCAGAGUGAUCCCACGGUCCCGCGUGGAAGGGCCGUGGCGUAACGGAUAAAAGCUACCCCGGGGAUAACAUGCUGAUGUUGCCCAAGAGUCCAUAUCGACGGCAGCGUUUGGCACCUCGAUGUCGGCUCGUCUCAUCCUGGGGCUGGAGGCGGUCCCAAGGGUUGGGCUGUUCGCCCAUGAAAGAGGUACGCGAGCUGGGUUCAGAACGUCGUGAGACAGUUCGGUCUCUAUCCGCCGUGGGCGCAUAGAAGGUUGCGGGGGGCUGGCCCUAGUACGAGAGGACCGGGCUGGACAGACCGCUGGUGUGCCAGUUGUCGGACAUCCGGCAGCGCUGGGUAGCUACGUCUGGCAGGGAUAACCGCUGACAGCAUCUAAGUGGGAAGCCCACCCCAAGAUGAGCCUUCUCAUC